rnacentral:rRNA from 1 species
GGGGAAUAUUGCACAAUGGGCGAAAGCCUGAUGCAGCAAUGCCGCGUGUGUGAAGAAGGUCUUCGGAUUGUAAAGCACUUUCGACGGGGACGAUGAUGACGGUACCCGUAGAAGAAGCCCCGGCUAACUUCGUGCCAGCAGCCGCGGUAAUACGAAGGGGGCUAGCGUUGCUCGGAAUGACUGGGCGUAAAGGGCGUGUAGGCGGUUUUGACAGUCAGAUGUGAAAUCCCCGGGCUUAACCUGGGAGCUGCAUUUGAGACGUUAAGACUAGAGUGUGAGAGAGGGUUGUGGAAUUCCCAGUGUAGAGGUGAAAUUCGUAGAUAUUGGGAAGAACACCGGUGGCGAAGGCGGCAACCUGGCUCAUUACUGACGCUGAGGCGCGAAAGCGUGGGGAGCAAAC